UGGGGAAUUUUCCGCAAUGGGGGGAACCCUGACGGAGCAACGCCGCGUGCGGGAGGACGGCCUGUGGGUUGUAAACCGCUUUUCUCUAGGAAGAAGGUCUGACGGUACUAGAGGCAUCAGCAUCGGGUAUCUCCGUGGCAGCAGCCGCGGUAAGACGGAGGAUGCAAGCCUUAUCCGGAAUUAUUGGGCGUAAAGCGUCCGUAUGCGGUUCAUCAAGUCAGUUGUUAAAGACUGCAGCUCAACUGUGGGCGAGCAACUGAAACUGAUGAACUAGAGUGCGGUAGGGGUAGAGGGAAUUCCCAGUGUAGCGGUGAAAUGCGUAGAUAUUGGGAAGAACACCAGUGGCGAAUGCGCUCUACUGGGCCGCAACUGACGCUGAGGGACGAAAGCUAGGGGAGCGAAAGGGAUUAGAUACCCCUGUAGUCC
rnacentral:rRNA from 1 species